AACGCGUGGGUAACCUGCCUCAUACAGGGGGAUAACAGUUAGAAAUGACUGCUAAUACCGCAUAAGACCACAGAGCCGCAUGGCUCAGUGGGAAAAACUCCGGUGGUAUGAGAUGGACCCGCGUCUGAUUAGGUAGUUGGUGGGGUAACGGCCUACCAAGCCAACGAUCAGUAGCCGACCUGAGAGGGUGACCGGCCACAUUGGGACUGAGACACGGCCCAAACUCCUACGGGAGGCAGCAGUGGGGAAUAUUGCACAAUGGGGGAAACCCUGAUGCAGCGACGCCGCGUGAGCGAAGAAGUAUUUCGGUAUGUAAAGCUCUAUCAGCAGGGAAGAAAAUGACGGUACCUGACUAAGAAGCACCGGCUAAAUACGUGCCAGCAGCCGCGGUAAUACGUAUGGUGCAAGCGUUAUCCGGAUUUACUGGGUGUAAAGGGAGCGUAGACGGCUGUGUAAGUCUGAAGUGAAAGCCCGGGGCUCAACCCCGGGACUGCUUUGGAAACUAUGCAGCUAGAGUGUCGGAGAGGUAAGUGGAAUUCCCAGUGUAGCGGUGAAAUGCGUAGAUAUUGGGAGGAACACCAGUGGCGAAGGCGGCUUACUGGACGAUGACUGACGUUGAGGCUCGAAAGCGUGGGGAGCAA
rnacentral:rRNA from 1 species